UGCAGCGAUGAGUCUUUAGACUAGAGUCUCUGAUGCUCCCUGAUGUUCUCACAGCUACCUGAGCA